rnacentral:rRNA from 1 species
CAUGCAAGCCGAGCGGUAGAGAUUCUUCGGAAUCUUGAGAGCGGCGUACGGGUGCGGAACACGUGUGCAACCUACCUUUAUCUGGAGGAUAGCCUUUUCGAAAGGAAGAUUAAGUACUCCAUAAUAUAUUGAUUGGCAUCAAUUGAUAUUGAAAGCUCCGGCGGAUAGAGAUGGGCACGCGCAAGAUUAGUUAGUUGGUGAGGUAACGGCUCACCAAGACGAUGAUCUUUAGGGGCCUGAGAGGGUGAUCCCCCACACUGGUACUGAGACACGGACCAGACUCCUACGGGAGGCAGCAGUGAGGAAUAUUGGUCAAUGGGUGCAAGCCUGAACCAGCCAUCCCGCGUGAAGGACGACUGCCCUAUGGGUUGUAAACUUCUUUGUAUAGGGAUAAACCUACCCUCGUGAGGGUAGCUGAAGGUACUAUACGAAUAAGCACCGGCUAACUCCGUG